rnacentral:lncRNA from 1 species
AGUUAUUAAAGACAGAUGACACUUUCUAUUUCAGUGUCAAAGUGAAAAUGGUGGGGUGAACAAAAUCCAAUGGUGUCCUGGGCUAACGGCAUGGGUUGUCUGUCUUCCAGGAGUCAAAUGGUGGGUUGUGAGGUCCUGGGCUAACGGCAUGGGUUGUCUGUCUUCCAGGAGUCAAAUGGUGGGUUGUGAGGUCCUGGGCUAACGGCAUGGGUUGUCUGUCUUCCAGGAGUCAAAUGGUGGGUUGUGAGGUCCUGGGCUAACGGCAUGGGUUGUCUGUCUUCCAGGAGUCAAAUGGUGGGUUGUGAGGUCCUGGGCUAAUGGCAUGGGUUGUCUGUCUUCCAGGAGUCAAAUGGUGGGUUGUGGUUUCCUGGGCUAACGGCAUGGGUUGUCUGUCUUCCGGGAGUCAAAUGGUGGGUUGUGCUGUCCUGGACUAACGGCAUGGGUUGUCUGUCUUCCGGGAGUCAAAUGGUGGGUUGUGGUGUCCUGGGCUAAAGGCAUGGGUUGUCUAUUUUCCAGGAGUCAAAUGGUGGGUUGUGGUGUCCUGGGCUAAAGGCAUGGGUUGUCUAUUUUCCAGGAGUAUACUGCUACCUUGGGCUGGGGAAGAAAAGACACACUGCCUCAGAGGGAGGGGGAGGAGGAAGCUAUGUAGAUAAUUACCACGAGCUUCUGUUUUGGACAGCCAUAAAAAUAUACAUUCAAAUUAACUCCGUCCCAGCCGUCCCACCCCUGCCCAUGAGGGCCGCGGCGGCCUUGUGAUUUCCCAAAGUGCCCUGCUGGAGCUGUGACCUUCGCUGGACGGACGCCAAUUAGCGCGGCCUGACGCAGUGUAAUUGAGGAGUGGAACAUCUGGGGUUUAAUGGCGUCUUCAUCUGGUUCAGAAACACAAACCGUCUCACAACAAAAGUGCAGGGUCUGUGGUCUCUAUAUUCUGGUGUCAUCCUAGCCCUACUUGUCCAACUAAACCACUCUAAUGAAUGCCUGUCUACUCAACACGCUAAAGGCCCUGUAGGCAGGUUUCUGGGAUACGUCAAAAAGAACAUGUGUCCCUUGCAGCAAUUCAUUUAUAUUUUUAUAUGCAGUUGGGUUUCUUUUAAUUUCCUACCGUAAACAUAAUUUUGUUUUAGUGUCUUCUUUUCAGUGUGUAUGACCCAGGGCAAGGUAAAUGAUCCCAGUGGAUGAGACCAGGCACCCCAGGACUAUGGAAAUGAUCUGUCAUAGGAGAGAGCAGGAUGGUAAUAGGACUAUCACUGAGGGGAAAGGGGAGUAGGGGACCUUCAUCCCACUCAACAUCUGAAAUUCAAUUCCAUCCCAGACCUGCAUGGCUGUCCCCAAGGAGAGAAAGCAAGCAAGCAAUCAUCCUCAUUAACACAUUUAAUGUGACAAACAACCUAGUUGAAUCUAGGAAAAAAGGACAUACAGUAUCUUAGAGUUAGAGGAUCCCACAGUCAUGAAACAUAGGCUAGAUAGUGAGCAUUACGCUGCUGUCCCAGAGACCUCAUGUGCUGUCCCAGAG